UACGAAGGGUGCAAGCGUUACUCGGAAUUACUGGGCGUAAAGCGUGCGUAGGUGGUUCGUUAAGUCUGUCGUGAAAGCCCCGGGCUCAACCUGGGAAUGGCGAUGGAUACUGGCGGGCUAGAGUGCGGUAGAGGGUGGUGGAAUUCCCGGUGUAGCAGUGAAAUGCGUAGAGAUCGGGAGGAACAUCAGUUGCGAAGGCACUUUACUGGGCUAUUACUAACACUCAGAGACGAAAGCUAGGGUAGCAAAUGGG
rnacentral:rRNA from 1 species